GGGGAAAGGACUAUUUAGGGCCUCAUAGUGGGUAUGAGGCAGAACUUGUUGGCCAGAACUGGCUGCCUGUCCUUGACAUCAGGCUGAAGUGCUGAUACAAAGUGUCUGUGACUGCUCCUCCUUCAGGAAGUCUCCAGAGCUCAGGUUGACCUUGUCACUCCUCCAUGUUCCCAGCCAACUGCUCUGCCUCAAGCCCAUGCUAAUCUAAUGUCCUUAUGGUCAUCCCUUCUCUUCUCU
rnacentral:lncRNA from 1 species